CAGUCGCCGCGGUAAUACGGAGGGUGCAAGCGUUAAUCGGAAUUACUGGGCGUAAAGCGCACGCAGGCGGUUUGUUAAGUCAGAUGUGAAAUCCCCGAGCUUAACUUGGGAACUGCAUUUGGAACUGGCAAGCUAGAGUCUUGUAGAGGGGGGUAGAAUUCCAGGUGUAGCGGUAAAAUGCGUAGAGAUCUGGAGGAAUACCGGUGGCGAAGGCGGCCCCCUGGACAAAGACUGACGCUGAGGCACGAAAGCGUGGGGAGCAAACAGGAUUAGAUACCCCGGUAGUCCCUGUCUCUUAUAC
rnacentral:rRNA from 1 species